rnacentral:rRNA from 1 species
GACGAACCGUGCGAACGUUAUUCGGAAUCACUGGGCUUAAAGCGCGUGUAGGCGGGAGGGCACGUCCGUUGCUGAAAUCCCCAGGCUCAACCGGGGAACGGGCGCGGAUACGACUCUCCUUGAGGGGCGUAGGGGGACCUGGAACUUCCGGUGGAGCGGUGAAAUGCGUUGAGAUCGGAAGGAACGCCCGUGGCGAAAGCGAGGUCCUGGACGCCUACUGACGCUGAGACGCGAAAGCCAGGGGAGCGAACGGG